AGGAUACAGGUUUGCGAGUGGUGGCAACUAGACCUGCCUUGCGGAAUCAUGAACCAGAUGAGCUGGCAGCAGACACACCAGCCUGGGGUACAAACGGGGUGCUUCUUUGGGACCCCAAGCUGCAGGGGUCUCUGGGCCAUUACAAUGCAGGGCUUUAAUAUCAGGGGAACUGAGGCCCAGAGAAGUCAAGAAUUACUACCAGGCACAAUAGCCAAAAGGCGGAAGCAACGUAAGCGUCCGUGGACAGAAGAAUGAGCAAACAAAACAUGCACUGACAUAGCGGGAUGUGAGUCAGCCCUAGAGAGGAAGGAGUUCCUGGCGCAUGCGGCAGCACGGAUGGGCCUGGAGGACAUCAUGCAACGUGAAGCAAGCCAGACACAGAAAGAUAAAUACGGAAUGAUUCCACUUCUGGAGGCUCCUGCAGCCAUCAGAUUCACAGGCGCAGAAGGUGGAAUGAGUCGCACACUGUCACCCAGGCUGGAGUGCAGUGGCGCGAUCUCGGCUCACUGCAAGCUC